GUGUAGUGUAGUGGUUAGCACGGAAGAUUGUACGUUCAUCUGAUCCACCCAAUUCCUACACUAAAGCUAACAUACCUCCCAGUUGAUUCCAUCAGAAAUUUCUUCAAUCCCCGGUUCGAACCCGGGCACG